rnacentral:lncRNA from 1 species
GGCCAUUUUCUAAAGCAUAGUCAUAGGUUCAAAUUAACUAUGAUAGCAUCUAAUUAACUCUUUUUUCUGUCCAUACAGGAAGAUUGGGUGUUGUGUAGGGUGUUCUACAAGAAUAGAGAAGUUGGUGGCAAACCUAAUAGCAUGCGAAGCUGCUAUGAUGACACAGAGAAACUGAAGGAACCGAGACAUCACUUCUUGUUUCAGAGUCAAUGCAGAUUAUGACACCACUCCCUUCUAUUAAUGAAUUAAUCAAUUCAGCAAGCUAGGCUAGUCCACCAACAACUAGAAAACCAGUCCCAAUUUGCAUUCAUUCCACCAACAAUCCGAAUUUGUAACCAGAGUCAAUUGCUCUUCUAAGCACAUAAAUACUUAUUAAAAUAUGAAAAAAAGUAAGCAUCCAUGAAACCAAAAAGUUCACCAUACUACAGAUUUUUGGCAAAACAGAGAAAUCCCAAUAACAGAGGCAUUGAUACAUUAUAUUGACAAGAACAAAGAAACAAAAUAAAGAGAUUGAAUCAAAUAGAAAAAAAAAGUGAUUAAAAUUCAGACAAAAAAAAGUUAUUAAAAUUCAGACAAUCAUGUGAUUAAAAUCAUGUUCCGUUCGAAGAAAUUCCAAUUAAUAAUUGCAUGAGCAAGGCUAAAGCAUGCUAAUAUUUAACAAAAUCCCAGCCCCAAUUUGCUUCCCUGCCACCAAUUUGCAAUCAUGGAGUCAGAAGAGAUAGCGGGGUCGAGGAGAGAGCGGGAUCUUCUUGGUACGGCGAUGGACUUGUUGCGCUUCAGUGCAACGGAG